rnacentral:rRNA from 1 species
CAAUAGCGUAUAUUUAAGUUGUUGCAGCUAAAAAGCUCGUAGUUGGAUUUCGGGUGUGAACGGCCGGUCCGUCUUUGAUGUGUACUGGUUGGUUGCGCCUUAUUGUCGAGGACAUGUUCUGGCUUUCAUUAGCUGGACAUGGAGUCGGCAGCGUUACUUUGAGAAAAUUAGAGUGUUCAAAGCAGGCUAUCGCUCUGAAUACUACAGCAUGGAAUAACACGAUAGGACUCCGAGCCUAUUCUGUUGGUCUUCGUGACCGGAGUAAUGAUUAAGAGGGACAGUUGGGGGCAUUCGUAUUCCGAUGUCAGAGGUGAAAUUCUUGGAUUAUCGGAAGACGAACAUCUGCGAAAGCAUUUGCCAAGGAUGUUUUCAUUAA